UUGGUUUUAGCAACACAUAUACUAAAAUUAGAAUGAUACAGAGAAGAUUAGCAUGGCUCCUGCCCAAGGAUGACAUGCAAAUUCAUGAAACAUUCCAUAUUUUU